rnacentral:rRNA from 1 species
AUGGACCUACUCGGCACCGUCCGUAUGGCCGCAUGGUCAGUGUCUUUGUACCGUCUACUCGUCUGCAACUGGCCGGCUCUUUUCAAGACACCCUGCUUGCUGAUGCUCGAUCCUCGCAGGUGGCCCAGACACCGACUUGACGAUCCUACGGAGGUUGCCGUGGUACCCCUCGACAUGCUACCACUACCCGUCCACCUGUCCUUCAUGCGCGGCCACUACUGGGCGGGCAUGAAGGCCAACUGGAUCGUCCUCAUCCACCACACUGGUAGUCCGUGGUGUCUCGUGGAUAUCUACACCCAGCGAGAGAUCACCCUUCCAUCAUUGGAUACCACCGCCAUCGAGCCUCGCGGCCCGCCGGACACUCCUGCCUACUACGCAUGA